UCAGUUAAUUUUUGGUAAAAUGGACUCGGCAAAAGAAUUUUUAUUAUUUUCGUUUACGCUUUAACUUUCCGCUGUCUAUCUGAUGCUGGACUUCUGUGGCUGUUUAAGGUGCUACUGAUCGUGCAGUCUUUUCAUUUCGUUUUCAAAACUCAGGAAAAUUAUACAAAUUUUCGUUAUUAUUUUUUACAUAACUCACACGAUGGUUACGGAUAGCACCGAUUUAAACAUCCCACACUUUGUUUAACACGUUGGAUAAAUCAGUUAUUAAAUUAAUUUCAAAUUAAGAACUUUUGGAACUGAUGUUGUCUCUACCGAAAUUUACUUACAAUAAAUACACCUUGCAACGUU